rnacentral:lncRNA from 1 species
GCUAUAUUGUUCUUAGUAUCAACUCAUUAUAAAAUAACAUCUUAUCUCUUAAUAAUUUUUGAAAUGAGAUGAAAGUGUCUAAAGAUGUGCUUGGACUUAUGAUGAGAUUUGGAUUCCUUGGUUUGAGCAAUGGCCCCAAUGUUAUCACAAUAAAUUAGCACUGGCUGUUCUAUCUUAGGAACCAUAUUCAAUUUUGUGAUGAAUUUUUUCAUCCAGAUAUCUUCCUUGGCGGC